rnacentral:rRNA from 1 species
AGCAGCCGCGGUAAUUCCAGCUCCAAUAGCGUAUAUUAAAGUUGUUGCAGUUAAAAAGCUCGUAGUUGAAUUUCGGGAUCGAUUAAUUGGUCGUGCCUCUGGUACGUACUGAUUUUAUUGGUUUCUCCCUUCUGACGAACCAUGAUGUCAUUAAUUUGGUGUCGUGGAGAAUCAGGACUGUUACUUUGAAAAAAUUAGAGUGUUUAAAGCAAGCUAACGCUUGAAUACAUUAGCAUGGAAUAAUGAAAUAGGACGUUUGAUCCUAUUUUGUUGGUUUCUAGGAUCGACGUAAUGAUUAAUAGGGAUAGUUGGGGGCAUUAGUAUUCAAUUGUCAGAGGUGAAAUUCUUGGAUUUAUUGAAGACUAACUACUGCGAAAGCAUUUGCCAAGGAUGUUUUCAUUAGUCAAGAACGAAAGUUAGGGGAUCGAAGACGAUCAGAUACCGUCGUAGUCUUAACCAUAAACUAUGCCGACUAGGGAUCGGAUGAUGUUAAUUUUUAAUGACUCAUUCGGCGCCUUAC